ACCAUCCUUUUCUUGGGGUUGCGCUACUGUCCCAUAAGGGCCUAGCGAGGGUAGUAUUGCUAACACCUACCGAACACGCUUGCAUCAACUAACUAGAGCUUUGGUUUAUAUUGGUGCAAUUUUUGGAAAA
ensembl:snRNA